AUCUCUUGGUUCCAGCAUCGAUGAAGAACGCAGCGAAAUGCGAUAAAUAAUGUGAAUUGCAGAAUUCAGUGAAUCAUCGAAUCUUUGAACGCACAUUGCGCCCUUCGGUAUUCCGGGGGGCAUGCCUGUUCGAGCGUCAUU
rnacentral:rRNA from 2 species